CCAUGCCGAACACGGAAGUUAAGCUCUUCAGCGCCGAUGGUAGUUGGGGGCUUCCCCCUGUGAGAGUAGGACGCCGCCAAGC
rnacentral:rRNA from 1 species